rnacentral:rRNA from 1 species
GACGAAGGUGGCGAGCGUUGUUCGGAAUCACUGGGCAUAAAGCGCGUGUAGGCGGCUAUGCAAGUCGGGCGUGAAAUCCCACGGCUCAACCGUGGAAGUGCACCCGAAACUGCGUAGCUAGAGUCCUGGAGAGGAAGGUGGAAUGCUUGGUGUAGAGGUGAAAUUCGUAGAUAUCAAGCGGAACACCGGUGGCGAAGGCGGCCUUCUGGACAGUGACUGACGCUGAGACGCGAAAGCGUGGGGAGCAAACAGG